AUAAACGGCAGCAGAAGCGGUUGAGGCGGAUCCUCGUGYGGCUGUGGGAUGACCCCACACCGCUGGAGGAUGCCGCCCGCUCUCAUGGAUGCUGWGUGCACCGGGGAUUUGCGGGCCCUGGCCCGCAUUUCGCCCCAAGGAGGUCUCGUUUGCUGGGGCCGAUUCGUGCCGCUGCUCGGCUCUCCAGCGGGUYGUCUCCSGACGUUGCGUUGCGGGAGAGUUGCUAGCGGGGCGUUUUGCGGCGCAUGCGAGUUUUGCCUCYGUUGGCAUARGCGGCCGCCGCUCCACGUCGUGAGGGCGACCCGCCGUCCGCGGGGGGUUGCCKAAAUGAUGUGUCGGCUCUCUUAGGACGUGCUACCUGG
rnacentral:misc_RNA from 1 species